CCUACGGGAGGCAGCAGUGGGGAAUAUUGCACAAUGGGGGAAACCCUGAUGCAGCAACGCCGCGUGAAGGAAGACGGUUUUCUGAUUGUUAACUUCUGUUCGUAGUGAAGUAUAAUGACGGUAGCUAAGGAGCAAGCCACGGCUAACUACGUGCCAGCAGCCGCGGUAAUACGUAGGUGGCAAGCGUUGUCCGGAUUUACUGGGUGUAAAGGGAGCGCAGGCGGGAAGCCAAGUCAGCUGUGAAAACUACGGGCUUAACUUGUAGACUGCAGUUGAAACUGGUUUUCUUGAGUGAAGUAGAGGUUGGCGGAAUGCAGAGUGUAGCGGUGAAAUGCGUAGAGAU
rnacentral:rRNA from 1 species